rnacentral:lncRNA from 1 species
AAACUCCCCCACCCCAGAUUCAUUGCCUAGGCUCUAGUUCUAGAAAUUAAAAUUGAUUAUAUGAUGUAACAACACUUCCUUUCUGUUUGCUUUUGUUCAGCUUUCUCAUAAUUGUUUAUUAUUAUCAUUUAAAUAUUAUAUAAGUCAUUCAAUGUGGAAAUUCUUAAAAUUUUAAAAUAUCUAUUCAAUUUUAAAUUUUAGGUAUUUCAAUAUAUUAUUGUUGCUCCAGAUACAAAUUCAUUUGACCCAACAUUUCACCCCUCAUUCCUCAGCUUAUUAAGUACAUUCCAGAGUAUUGCACAAUUGUUCUGGCCUCCCUGUAUUUGCAGUGCUUUCUUUCUCUUCCUCAUUUUUGUUCCCUUAGACAUUAGCCUAAUGUUUAAUAUGGAUACAGUGAAUGAACUGACAAAUGGAAUUAAAUGGAUCAUGAUAUGUUUUCAACAUGAAGAAGUUUAUUCCUGGUACUUGGGUUCUUAUAAAGCAAUGCAGAUAUUUUACAAAAACUCUCAUACUGGUUUUCGUCCUCUACCUGACUUUCAGUCUCUGCCUGCUGACAAUUAUUGGAACACAGACCAUUUUAAAGUAUAAUCACACCAGCAGAAAGUUUACUGCUAAGAACAACAGAAGCAAAUGACUCUGUUUUUACACCUCGGCAACUAUAGACCAUGCACAUUAUACUUUCUAGAGGGCAUUUUAGAGAAAAAUACACAUGUGAAAACAUGUUUUUUUUUUUUUUUGAGUGAAAUAUCCUAAACUUUUGUGCUGACAAGUUUUAUGUUAACUUGACACAAACUAGAAUCAUUUAGGAAGAAGGAACAUGCAUCCAUUGGAAAAAUGUCCCCCACACACUUGCCAGUGGGGAAGCCUGCAGUGGAUUUCUUGAUUGACUAUUGAUGUGGGAGAUCCCAGCUCACUGAGGGCAGUGACACACUGGGAUUGUGAUCUAGAGAAAAAUCUAAGAAGGCUUCAAGAAAGAAAGCUGAUGAAACCAUGAUGAGCAAGCAAAUAAGCAAAGUUUCUCCUUGGCUUCUGCUUCAGAUCUUACCUCCAGGCUACUGUCUUGAAUUCUUGCCAUGACUUCCCUCAGUGGUGAAGUAUAAACUGAG